UCGGAGAUAGACAAGAGAGGAAUCUUUCAUUCUUUGGCUCAGAUGUCGGGAUCUAUGUGUGGAAGGAACUCAAAAUUGACCCCAGGCAGCAAAACCCCCAUGAGCAAAGACACAUCCACGAAGGGAGCCCUGGCAGUUGUCCGUGUUUCCCCCGCAGUCAGAG